rnacentral:tRNA from 1 species
UGGCUCAGUUGGUAGAGCAUGGUGUGUGCAACGCCAGGGUAGUGGGUUCGAUUCCCAC